rnacentral:rRNA from 1 species
UAGGGAAUCUUCCACAAUGGACGAAAGUCUGAUGGAGCAACGCCGCGUGAGUGAUGAAGGGUUUCGGCUCGUAAAACUCUGUUGUUGGAGAAGAACAGGUGAUAGAGUAACUGUUAUCAUCUUGACGGUAUCCAACCAGAAAGCCACGGCUAACUACGUGCCAGCGGCCGCGGUAAUACGUAGGUGGCAAGCGUUGUCCGGAUUUAUUGGGCGUAAAGCGAGCGCAGGCGGUUUUUUAGGUCUGAUGUGAAAGCCUUCGGCUUAACCGGAGAAGGGCAUCGGAAACCGGGAGACUUGAGUGCAGAAGAGGACAGUGGAACUCCAUGUGUAGCGGUGAAAUGCGUAGAUAUAUGGAAGAACACCAGUGGCGAAGGCGGCUGUCUGGUCUGUAACUGACGCUGAGGCUCGAAAGCAUGGGUAGCGAACAGGAUUAGAUACCCUGGUAGUCCAUGCCGUAAACGAUGAGUGCUAAGUGUUGGAGGGUUUCCGCCCUUCAGUGCUGCAGCUAACGCAUUAAGCACUCCGCCUGGGGGAGUACGACCGCAAGGUUG